AAAAAAGAAUAGAUUUACCUUGUAUAAAUUCAAGAAGACGGCUUGAAAGUUUCUACCAGCUACCGAUAUUAGCUGACUACAAGGAAUGGGAAAUU
rnacentral:ncRNA from 1 species